UUUCUUGCCGUCUGUCUCUCGUCUGGAAAGCGUUUCUAUCCUGAGGAGGUGGCGAAUUCCUGGAGGAGGCUCCGGAAGGGGGGAGGGUCGGUGGGAGAGUCCAAAAAUCUGUCACAAAAUGGAGUCUAAUCGCUUGUAAGACAGCUCCCAGGCCGGGCGACCCGAGAUUCGUUGGUGUGCGAGCGGGAGCCUGCGCGCGCCGGAGGACGCGGCGCUCCUGCUCGGGCCACGCUCCCACCUCGGCGUCCUGGGCUGGCGGCGCCCUUCCGCCGGCCGGGCCUGCCCGGGCGGCCUCGCCUCUCGGCACGCAGAGUUACAGGGCUCCGCUGAGCCUGCGAGGGUCCCCUUGGGCUCCCCUGCCCAGGAUUUUUCUUGAGUAGGAGAAGAAGGCUGUGAGGAUUUCCUCUGGGGUAUGUGACUGUCGACCCUCAGCUCCCUCCCGUCCUGCCCCUUGGAGCCAGGCUUAGGGCCACACAGUCCUGGCAUCUACCUGAGCCGCUUCUGUAAAAUGGGGACAUAUCCACCUGGGAGAAAGGAUUCUAAUAAGGAUUCGAGAUAACAUGCCCCAAAGGACCUGGCAUCUUGCCUGGCAUGUUGUUAAUACUCUGGAAAUUAUUGUUGUCGCUAUUAUCACCAUCAGUGUGGCAAGAAUGUCUUGUCGCCGAAGACAUACCAAACUGCCUCUGUGUUCCAUGCCAGAGAAAGGUGCAGCUGGCAUGGUAGGCUUGCCGUGAACCUCUCUGUGCAGGGAAGGUGAGGAGCACCCCUGGGAAAAUCGCUCCCUUGCCUGAGAGGGGCACUGUGAGGGCCAACACUCCUUCAGUGAUGAAAAGAACUCUAGGUUCUGAGACAGAACUGGAUUCACCUCCCAGCCCCACCAUUCAGCAGCCGUGUGAUCUCAGCCAAGUGCCGACCUGUCUCUGAGCCCCAGGUUCUCCAUCAGCAAAUUAGGAGUGAUGAUACAACAUCCCGGGGUGGUUGUAAGGAUAGCACGAGGUAUCUGGUGAGGAUGCAGUAAGCGUUCCAAACUCCACGGGAUCCAGUAUCGUCUUCGUGACCUCCAGAGAGGCAGAAACACUGAUUGUAGAGAUCAGAACAAAUGCCACCUGUGCAUGAUCGGGCAGGGCAGGUAUCAGGAUGAGCCUGGUGUUCUGGCCUGUUUCUCUUUGGGGCAGGGGUGCGUGAGAGGGAGUGGAAGUUGGUCCGGAGCGAAGAUCUUUCCACUGGGGAGCAACUGGAAUCUCUAGAGUCUGAGUACAGCUUGGAAAAUCCUACACAGAAGUAUAAUUUCAUAUUUGGAAAACC